CUUCUUCCUGUGAGGUAAACUGAGACUGUGUCUAUGACUUGUAUACACCAUGGGGGAGGCUCUCAGGCAUUGUGAGCACCUGGUACCUAGCAGCUUGUUUCUGUGUGAGCAAGUUGUCCUAGCUCCUGAAAUGGGACAUCAGCCUGCUGGGCAAAGCCCUUGCCAAAUCACAUAGGGAAUUUGUGUGGAGAGAAUUCAGAUUGGGACAGGCCAAGUUCAGUCACGCAAUUGUUUGGACUCGGAACAAUUAGUUCAAACCACAUUCCUGUGCUUGGGAGCCAUCCUGGAUGCAUCAGAGUCUUGCAGGUUGUCACAUGUGUGGGCUUAAAUUGUACACCUCUUGGAGACUACAAGACCUCCAGAGAUGGACAAUGAAGCUGGUGAAGGGGCUGGAGAAUGAGUCUUAUGAGGAGCGACUGAGGAUUGCUUAGCCUGGAGAAGAGAAGGCUGAGGGGAAACAUCACUCUCUACAACUGCCUGAAAGGAGCUUGUAGCAAGACCUAUAUCAGUUCCAGGCUCAGCUCAGCCAUGCACAUCUGGAUAAAAAGGAAAGAUCACGUUUACGUAUGGGAGAUUCAGCUCUAAUUUUCACCUGUAUAUACCAAUGUGGACUGUGAAGAAAAUGACAUGAUUAAACUGAUAUACUACCAAAGUAUUAAAUCCAAUAUCUGGAAAGAUGCUUUCCUUCCCUGGUUGCUUCUGAACCAUAGAAAUUGGUUUUCAGCUCUUCACUCAAGAACAGCAGAAGAAGAUUUAUCAGGUGCAACUGUGGAGUCUCUUUCUACGCCUGUGGCGUUUUCAGGAGUCGUAACUGCUCAUCAAAAACCAGUCUUUGUACGCAUGCAC